rnacentral:rRNA from 1 species
CGCUGGCGGCGUGCCUAAUACAUGCAAGUCGAACGGUCUUUCUAUGGAAGCUUGCUUCCACUGAGAAGAUAGUGGCGGACGGGUGAGUAACACGUGGGUAACCUGCCCAUAAGAGGGGGAUAACAUCCGGAAACGGGUGCUAAUACCGCAUAGUUUUCUUGAUCGCAUGAUCGGGAAAGGAAAGACGGCCUUUGUGCUGUCGCUUAUGGAUGGACCCGCGGCGUAUUAGUUAGUUGGUGAGGUAAUGGCUCACCAAGACGAUGAUACGUAGCCGACCUGAGAGGGUGAUCGGCCACAUUGGGACUGAGACACGGCCCAAACUCCUACGGGAGGCAGCAGUAGGGAAUCUUCCGCAAUGGACGAAAGUCUGACGGAGCAACGCCGCGUGAGUGAAGAAGGUUUUUCCGGAUCGUAAAACUCUGUUGUCAGAGAAGAACAAGUUGGAGAGUAACUGCUCCAGCCUUGACGGUAUCUGACCAGAAAGCCACGGCUAACUACGUGCCAGCAGCCGC